rnacentral:rRNA from 1 species
AUAUCAAUAAGCGGAGGAAAAGAAACCAACAGGGAUUGCCUCAGUAACGGCGAGUGAAGCGGCAACAGCUCAAAUUUGAAAUCUGGCCUCACGGUCCGAGUUGUAAUUUGUAGAGGAUGCUUUUGGCGAGGUGCUUUCCGAGUUCCCUGGAACGGGACGCCAUAGAGGGUGAGAGCCCCGUACGGUAAGACCACCGAGCCUCUGUAAAGCUCCUUCGACGAGUCGAGUAGUUUGGGAAUGCUGCUCUAAAUGGGAGGUGUACGUCUUCUAAAGCUAAAUACCGGCCAGAGACCGAUAGCGCACAAGUAGAGUGAUCGAAAGAUGAAAAGCACUUUGAAAAGAGGGUUAAAAAGUACGUGAAAUUGUUGAAAGGGAAGCAUUCAUGACCAGACUUGGGCUUGGUUGAACAUCCGGCGUUCUCGCCGGUGCACUCUGCCAGUCCAGGCCAGCAUCAGUUUGCCCCGGGGGACAAAGGCGGUGGGAAUGUGGCUCUCUUCGGGGAGUGUUAUAGCCCGCCGUGUAAUGCCCUGGGGCGGACUGAGGAACGCGCUUCGGCACGGAUGCUGGCGUAAUGGUCAUCAAUGA